rnacentral:rRNA from 1 species
AGCAGCCGCGGUAAUUCCAGCUCCAAUAGCGUAUAUUAAAGUUGUUGCAGUUAAAAAGCUCGUAGUUGAAUUUCGGGAUCAGUUGAUCGGUCGUGCCUCGGUACGUACUGGUCAAAUUGAUUCCUACCUUCUGACGAACCACGAUGUCAUUAAUUUGGUGUCGUGGGAAAUCAGGACUGUUACUUUGAAAAAAUUAGAGUGUUUAAAGCAGGCUCGCGCUUGAAUACAUUAGCAUGGAAUAAUGAAAUAGGACGUUUGAUUCUAUUUUGUUGGUUUCUAGGAUCGACGUAAUGAUUAAUAGGGAUAGUUGGGGGCAUUAGUAUUCAAUUGUCAGAGGUGAAAUUCUUGGAUUUAUUGAAGACUAACUACUGCGAAAGCAUUUGCCAAGGAUGUUUUCAUUAAUCAAGAACGAAAGUUAGGGGAUCGAAGACGAUCAGAUACCGUCGUAGUCUUAACCAUAAACUAUGCCGACUAGGGAUCGGAUGAUGUUAAUUUUUAAUGACUCAUUCGGCGCCUUACG